ACGAACGCUGGCGGCAUGCCUAACACAUGCAAGUCGAACGCCCCGCAAGGGGAGUGGCGCACGGGUGAGUAACGCGUGGGGAUCUACCCAGCAGUGGGGAAUAACCUCGGGAAACUGAGGCUAAUACCGCAUACGCCCCUUACGGGGGAAAGAUUUAUCGCUGUUGGAUGAACCCGCGUCGGAUUAGCUGGUUGGUGAGGUAACGGCUCACCAAGGCAUCGAUCCGUAGCUGGUCUGAGAGGAUGACCAGCCACACUGGGACUGAGACACGGCCCAGACUCCUACGGGAGGCAGCAGUGGGGAAUAUUGGACAAUGGGCGCAAGCCUGAUCCAGCAAUGCCGCGUGAAUGAUGAAGGCCUUAGGGUUGUAAAGUUCUUUCGCUCGUGGCGAUGAUGACGGUAACGAGAGAAGAAGCCCCGGCUAACUUCGU
rnacentral:rRNA from 1 species